rnacentral:rRNA from 1 species
GAUGAACGCUGGCGGCGUGCUUAACACAUGCAAGUCGAGCGAAGCACCUUGACGGAUUUCUUCGGAUUGAAGCCUUGGUGACUGAGCGGCGGACGGGUGAGUAACGCGUGGGUAACCUGCCUCAUACAGGUGGAUAACAGUUGGAAACGGCUGCUAAUACCGCAUAAGCGCACAGUACCGCAUGGUACGGUGUGAAAAACUCCGGUGGUAUGAGAUGGACCCGCGUCUGAUUAGGUAGUUGGUGGGGUAACGGCCCACCAAGCCGACGAUCAGUAGCCGACCUGAGAUGGUGACCGGCCACAUUGGGACUGAGACACGGCCCAAACUCCUACGGGAGGCAGCAGUGGGGAAUAUUGCACAAUGGGGGAAACCCUGAUGCAGCGACGCCGCGUGAGCGAUGAAGUAUUUCGGUAUGUAAAGCUCUAUCAGCAGGGAAGAAAAUGACGGUACCUGACUAAGAAGCCCCGGCUAACUACGUGCCAGCAGCCGCUGUAACAC